GUAGAUAGAUGCUCGCUGGUUUGAGUACUUAGCUGUUAACUAAGAGUUUAAAGGAUCGAGGCCUUUCUGUCUAG
rnacentral:tRNA from 1 species